AAUUAUUGGGUUUGGUCAAGUCAUGGCGAGGGAUGUUCCACGAGUGUUCCCGUGAAUCAAAAUCGUGCUUCAAGCAGUGUUUUUCAGCCCGUUGUUGUUCCCGAAUAUUAUCAUCAGCAUUAUGAUCCGUUUAAUGAGAUGGACAAUAUGAUAACUAAUGCCCUUGGUUUUAAUACGCCGAUUUAUGUGCCAAAUGAUGUCGACGACCCU
rnacentral:lncRNA from 1 species